rnacentral:rRNA from 2 species
CUUUCAACAACGGAUCUCUUGGUUCUGGCAUCGAUGAAGAACGCAGCGAAAUGCGAUAAGUAAUGUGAAUUGCAGAAUUCAGUGAAUCAUCGAAUCUUUGAACGCACAUUGCGCCCCUCGGCAUUCCGGGGGGCAUGCCUGUUCGAGCGUC